rnacentral:rRNA from 1 species
UACGUAGGGUGCGAGCGUUAAUCGGAAUUACUGGGCGUAAAGGGUGCGUAGGCGGUUCUGCAAGUCAGAUGUGAAAGCCCUGGGCUUAACCUGGGAAUGGCAUUUGAAACUAGGGAACUAGAGUGUAGCAGAGGGAGGUGGAAUUCCACGUGUAGCAGUGAAAUGCGUAGAGAUGUGGAGGAACACCGAUGGCGAAGGCAGCCUCCUGGGCUAACACUGACGCUCAAGCACGAAAGCGUGGGGAG